rnacentral:sRNA from 1 species
UACUCAAGAUGAGGAGUGUACGUCCAAC